UAAUUACACAAAUGACAGGGAAAGAGCUGUUUGAGAUGUGGACCAUCGUAAAUCCCAUGGGACUCCUCGUAGAGGAGCUGAAGAAGAGAAACAUCUCAGCUCCUGAGUCCAGACUCACCAGGCAGUCUGGAAGCACAACUGCUUUGCCUUUAUAUUUUGUUGGCUUAUACUGGUUAGUGAAAAAUUCAUUCUUCACUUUUUAACUUUGAUUGGAGACCUUAAAGAUAUAGACUCACAGUUGUUAAGUGUUACUUCUAAUAACAUUAAAAUCCUAUCUCUGAGCUGGGUGUGGGGGUACAUGUCAUUAAUGUAGGCUAGCAUUUAUGAGGUAGAGGCAAGCAGAUCUCUGUGAGUUUGAGCCCAGACUGUCUAUAGAAAGGCCACCCAGAACUACACAGCGAGACUCUGGUGGGGUGGGGUGGAUACGAUCAUUAUCUGGUUUUUGUUAUUGGUAGUGGUGGUGGUGGUAGGUUUUUUG
rnacentral:lncRNA from 1 species